GAAGUGGGAGGGCACAGGGGAGACUAAAACGGCCAGGGAAGUUGGCCUGGCGGAAGUUCCCAGGGAGAAGGCAGCGCGUUGUACCCGAGAUUCAGGGUCUGGCUCUGCUUCCCAGGCUAGAGUGCAUUUGGCGCGAUCACAGCUCACUGCAGCCUCGACCUCCUGAGCUCAAGCGAACUUCCUGCCUCAGCCUCCUGAGCUUCCUGAGUAACUGCGACUACAGGCACGUGCCACCAUGCCCGGUUAUUUUUGUAUUUUUUGUAGAGAGUGU
rnacentral:lncRNA from 1 species